UGCUAGAUGUGUAUGAAACCAGAUUUUGCCUU
rnacentral:piRNA from 1 species